CCAGUCCGUUGUACCUUGUUUCCACGUCACCGACUCAUAGUGGCACAGUGACCGAGUGGUUAGCACAGCUGCCUCACAGUUCUGAGGACACUAGUUCAAACCCGGCCUCGCCUGUGUGGAAUUUGCAUGUUCUCCCUGUGCCUGCAUGGGUUUUCUCCGGGCACUCCGGUGUCCUACCACAUUCCAAAAACAUGCGUGUUACCACACAGAUCAUUAUUGCCACAUUGGGAAAAGCAGCUCACCACCUCCCAUGCAGCUUCCCCGAGGGGCAUUACCCUGAGCAAAGCAGAGGCUUUGUAAUCUGAGCCCAGCAGAAUUCAACCUACGUUUGGUUGAGGCUGAUGAGCCAGCGAGAGUGGUUUCUCUCGCCACUGGUCUCACUGAUUCAACAUGUUCAAUCAGCCAAACAAUCCUCUGACAAGGGCAGAUCGGUGCCAACGAUGCAGGAUACUCUGUGAAGACUGAGACCACGACAUACACCGACAAAGCCCAGUGAACCAGGUGGAUUAAACCUUGAGCAGAAGCACACAUAUGAAUGCAGGAGGAAUCCAAAUUACCCGGAGAAAACCUACACAAGAAGGAGAAGAGAACAUGCAAACUCCACAUGGAGCCCAGAACCUCUGAACUGUGAGGCAGAGGCACGAACCAGUAUUCCAUCAUGCAGAGCAAAACUAUGAACAGGAUUUGCAGUCCAUGUUAAUUGUUAGAGCCUGUCUAAGUGGCCAUGGCAAUUCCAGAAACAACAGUCAACCUCCUCUGGCAGGAAGAAGGCCCUUAACCACAAGAGCUGAGGCUGAAGGGGAAGGUGGGAGGUGAGCCAGAGGGAAGGCAGCCUGCGGUUGUACAUCUUUGGAAAGCUUCAUGUGUUGCCGAGACAGUGACUUAAGUGACUUCAGCUCAUCUAAAAGAUGCUCAUCAUGAGCGGUUGAAAGCCACCCUUUUCAUUCCAGCAUGAAAAGCAAACCAAGCCCAUCUGGAGAGCACAAGAGGUUGCCAAAAUAGGAAAAGAAAAACUGAUUGGCUUUGGAACGACACUGUACAAGUCAUAACAUACACCAGCCUUUACCACAAUAACAGAAGGAUGUUUAGAAUUUUAAUGUAUCAACAGGGUUUCCCAAAAAUCUGUAAAUAUUUACUCAUAAAGCAAUGGAAAAUGCAGGGGCCUCCACAGUUGGUCUCUUUCAACCUAUUUAAAUGCCAGUAACUCAAAGCAGCCACCAUGGCAAAUUCCACACUGCAUAGAGUAUUUGUUUUGAAGCCCAUGUUUAGACUCCAUUUAUAAGGCCAGUGUCUCCACGCAGAGGGCUCCUGCUAGGAUGAUAAGGAAGUGUCUGCCUUCUCAAGAUGAAGUCUAACAAAGGAGGAGGGGGAGGUGGGCAGUGGACUCACAACUGCAUUAUCUUGCAAUGUGGGAUUCAUUUGAGAAGCCAGUUUUGACAAAUUACGCAUUCCUUUCUCCCAUCAUCACCCUUGCAAAUGCCUAUGGUCUUUCAUGAUUGAGCUCAAAUGUACAUAGAGUAUAUGGCCUUUGGAGUGCAAGGUCUGUUCUUGGCCAUAUUGAGCAAAUGAGCCAGAGAAAGAAUCUCUCACGCCUGCCUGUAAAAUAUGCACAGAAAUGGGUUUGUUGUAGUGUGAAAAGAUUUGGCCAACUAAGAACUGUUAGGCUUAAUAGCUUUGACUAGAUAUUCAUUAAAAGCCACUGACAUUUCAAGCAGACCGGUAAACUACUGUCACUCCCUAGCCUUUAAAAAAAGGAUUCAUGUGUCUUUCUUGUAGAAAAGAAGGGAUGCCGCAUUGGCCCAAUCUGUAAGUCAUUAAAGAACAUCAAAUUAAUUCUCUGUCAAAAGCCAGGAAGAGAUAAAAAGUUUGAUCAGUGUUUCAUGUGCUGAACAGCUUUACAAUCUUUGUACUCAGAUGCUGUAAAGUCGGGUACAUGCGUACCGACAAUCGGCCCAAUUUUGAGGCCACUUCUCUUUUCUGAUAAAAGACAGCAAAGGCCCAAUAACUGGAUGAUUUUUUUUCCUGUGGUGUGGGGUGUUUUAAGAAUGAUAUUUUUUUCCCUCAAUCUGCUUGGAAAACGGCCAACAAUUGUAAAUGUUAAACCUGUUCAAUAUUUACGAUCGCAAAUCUUUAUAACGUGUGAUCAACACUAAGUUUGGCCAAGCUACGUCCUCGGUGAUUUUGUAUGAAACGUAACAAUAGCCAGUUUGGAAGCAAUCUGAAGCUCACACUCUUGCCGCACUAAUAGGAGAGCAACUGUUUUUUUUAAGUGUUUGUAUAACAUAUCUACCAAGUCAUUGAUCCCACUAAAAGGAAGAAUUUGCAACUGCAGUGUAGUCACCAAAUAAGAUAACAGUUAGCCUAGCUUUUUCUAUUUUAGUAGUCAGCACAAACUCUGCAAUUUUAUUUUAUUUUUUUUCAUGAGUGGGUUCACGCACAUUUUACAAAAGCGGUUAGUAUUUUUGAAAAUCAGGAUGUGUGUAACCUGCAUAAUUGGACAGGCUGAUAUCUGGAUUCAUCCAGUGACUAUUAUGUGUUUCAUGCAUCAUUUUGAGCAGUGUACAGCCAGUUUU